GGGGGAGUAACGCAGCGAAAGACUGCGCUAAUACCGCAUACGAUCUACGGAUGAAAGCAGGGGAUCGCAAGACCUUGCGCGAAUGGAGCGGCCGAUGGCAGAUUAGGUAGUUGGUGAGGUAAAGGCUCACCAAGCCUUCGAUCUGUAGCUGGUCUGAGAGGACGACCAGCCACACUGGGACUGAGACACGGCCCAGACUCCUACGGGAGGCAGCAGGG
rnacentral:rRNA from 1 species